rnacentral:rRNA from 1 species
UGCGAGGGGGGCGAGCGUUGUUCGGAAUUAUUGGGCGUAAAGGGUGCGUAGGCGGUUUGGUAAGUCUGAUGUGAAAUCUAUGGGCUCAACUCAUAGUCUGCAUCGGAAACUGCCGGGCUUGAGUGUGGGAGAGGUGAGUGGAAUUCCUGGUGUAGCGGUGAAAUGCGCAGAUAUCAGGAGGAACACCAAUUGCGAAGGCAGCUCGCUGGGACGUUACUGACGCUGAGACGCGAAAGCGCGGGGAGCAAACAGG